GAUGAAGAACGUAGCGAAGUGCGAUAAGUAAUGUGAAUUGCAGAAUUCCGUGAAUCAUCGAAUCUUUGAAUGCAAAUUGCACUCUCUGGUAUCCCGGGGAGUAUGCCUGUUUGAGGGUCAGUGUUAAUAAAAAUCGGUGCGUUGCACUUUAUUGUGACGUUCUGGAGUUUGAGUUAUCUUAACUUUUAGGUUAAGAGGCUUAAAAUUGACCUUUUUUUUGUGCAUUUUAGACGUACAUAAAUUUUCUUUUAUUUGUCUUUUAAUGCCAAAAUUAUAUUAGAUGCGACCAUAUCGUGUGGUUUCGUGUCUAUAAAUUUUUCAUGAUUUGACCUCAAAUCAGGUAGGAGUACCCGCUGAACUUAAGCAUAUCAAUAAGCGGAGGA
rnacentral:misc_RNA from 1 species